UGGGGAAUUUUGCGCAAUGGGCGAAAGCCUGACGCAGCAACGCCGCGUGAGUGAUGAAGGCUUUCGGGUCGUAAAGCUCUGUCAAGGGGAAAGAAAUGUAUUGUGGUUAAUACCCGCGAUACUUGACGGUACCCCUAAAGGAAGCACCGGCUAACUCCGUGCCAGCAGCCGCGGUAAUACGGGGGGUGCAAGCGUUGUUCGGAAUUAUUGGGCGUAAAGCGCGUGUAGGCGGUUUGUUAAGUCUGAUGUGAAAGCCCUGGGCUCAACCCAGGAAGUGCAUUGGAAACUGGCAGACUUGAAUACGGGAGAGGGUAGUGGAAUUCCUGGUGUAGGAGUGAAAUCCGUAGAUAUCAGGAGGAACACCGGUGGCGAAGGCGGCUACCUGGACCGAUAUUGACGCUGAGACGCGAAAGCGUGGGUAGCAAACA
rnacentral:rRNA from 1 species